UACGUAGGGGGCAAGCGUUGUCCGGAAUCAUUGGGCGUAAAGAGCGCGUAGGCGGCCCUGUAAGUCCGCUGUGAAAGUCAAGGGCUCAACCCUUGAAUGCCGGUGGAUACUGCAGGGCUAGAGUCCGGAAGAGGUGAGUGGAAUUCCUGGUGUAGCGGUGAAAUGCGCAGAUAUCAGGAGGAACACCGAUGGCGAAGGCAGCGUCACUGGGACGGUGACUGACGCUGAGGCGCGAAAGCGUGGGGAGCAAACAGG
rnacentral:rRNA from 1 species